AUCUCAUGAUGAGUACACUUACAAAGUAAUUUAUUGAAUCUUUCCCACGCCUCGAACAAGGAUUCAUCAUCCAAUUGUGAAAAAGUGGUUAUCUCAUUUCGCAACUU
rfam:Gossypium raimondii Chr06_contig_346, whole genome shotgun sequence.